GCUAAAAGCUAUCUGGAAGGUGUUCAGUCCGGCUGUAACAUUGGUCUCGGUGAGCCAUGUUUUUCGGUCCUUCGUUAACGUCGCAUUUUGAUAACGUGACUCCAAGGAGAUAUUAUCGUUGAUUAAGUUGAAGCCUUCUCGAGAACCUGGGAUGUGGUGAAGACGCACAAGAUGUCGUUACUGAAACACAAAACAGACAGCAGCUAUCAAGUGACGUAAAGGAUGUGUAGAAAUAAGCUUUAGGAAGUGGUUUCAUUCCAGCAUGAUAAACGAUCCUCGAGCGAGAGACAACAUCCCUUCAUAUGUGUGGAACAUAACUGCUAUAUCAAGUUUCCAUCCUUGGACGAAUGUUGACGCCUAGCACAAGAAUUUACCUCAAGUGACCGAGUCUACAGUCGACCGACAAUCGCCCGGACGGAGAGGAGAAUGUAAGGGACGUCAUAACCUUCUUAUUGAAGUCGCCACCUCGUCCUGACGUUAAUGAACUAGUUGGCAAGUCCAGACGUUAAUGAACUAGU